GCGACUCCGAUGAUGAAUGGUUUGAAUCCUUAUUUUUCUGUUUAUCUGAGAGAGUCGUCUCUGCACUUUACCGGGACGUCUCGGCUUGUCUGCGCUUUUUGCAUGGGGACGACUCCGCUGUUUCGGGGACGACUCCGCCGUUAUAACUCCGAAAAACAUAUCUUCUGGAUUUCUCUGAGAGAGUUGACUCCGCUCUUUCAGGG
rnacentral:lncRNA from 1 species